ensembl:lncRNA
UUUUUAUCGUGUCAGUUAAUUUGUUUAUUUCAAGUAAUGUGAAUGUUUUUUAUGGUUUUACUUUUAGUUAAUGAUAAUAACCCUGUAUUUGUGCACCCUGUACAUGUUACUUUCUGAAAAAUGACACAUUACUAGAAGAAAAUGUGGGCGGGACUUCAUUUUAUCUAUCAAGAACUGAUUGGAUAAUGAAAGUGACAGUUGUUUAGAGGAGGGGUUGAAAAAAAUAAUGAGAGCUUGGUGAUGUCUUUUGAAAAGGAAAGUCAUUUAGAGGCAGAGAAAUUUCCAUUUGAUGAAAGCUUUUUUAUAAUGUGUGUUAAAUCAUGCACAGUAAGACCAAGUACAUGCAUUAAGACAAACCCAUUUUGAUUUGCAUUGCCCAUCAUAGGACUUGAUUUAAGACGAUUAAAUUUAAAAACAUAUAUAUAUAUAAAUGCAUUAUUGAUUUCAAGACUUCAUUCUUAUUGUCUGAAGCCCCAUCCCUUUGUCUGAUUAAGAGGCCCAGUCUUUAAAGCUGUGAAUCACGACGGCUGUUAGUGUGUUUAUACACUGACUUCCGGAUCUUUGCCCCAUUGUUGCCCCUCAGAUGCCCCUCGGCCUCCAAUCCGCCCCGGCUUAACUACUCUCAAACAGCAGCCGUAGAGUUCCAGAUUUCAUUUCCCCCGUGCCUGAUGUCAAGAGAGCUUAAGAUGAGAGCUGUGGGGGUUGAUGGAGAAAAUAACAGGACGAGUUUCCCAAGCAUCCGUGUGUGAAGUUUCAACCCUCCUCCAGCUCUUGAGGUGACAAAACCUUGACACUUUCACAGCCUUAAUUCUGAAGACUAAUGGAAAACAAACAACUGAUUAUUUGCUUCUGGAACAUCAGAUGCUUCAGUUUGCCGUCUCCAUUUGUGGAAGCGGAGGCUUCACACUGGCUUUGAUUGAUAGCUGUUUACCUUUUGAGUUUCAGUCACAUGUUUAUGUCAUUCUAAUAUGAACGUACACCACUAUCUUUUCCUCACAGCCCUUACAAAAAAGUACUGAAGUGAUAUUAGAUGGUAGAACUAUUGUACUUCGAUAUAGACCCUGAUACUAAAUCUUCUCUUCAUGGGAAGUAGCACUAGUAUUGGUAGUUAUUUAUAACCAUAACCAUAAAAUCAAAUAUGGUAUUAACUGCUCUUUGACAGAAGAUUUACAAGAUUUCUCUCAACCAAGCAGGAGAGCACGAGCAGAUUUAAUAAAGCUGAAAAAAAAA